rnacentral:misc_RNA from 1 species
GGUAUACCCAAACCUGCUAGACUUACACGAUGCCUGAAGACUUUGUAGCUAAAUUUGAAGAGAUCAUGUCUGGUAGCCUCAAACUCUCACUCACGAGGAACGAUACAAGCUUUCAUGAGAAGCUGCUACACAGAUGUUCAUGGAAUAUUCUGACCUCGAUAAGGUUUUGACUGGUGAAACCAGACUGGACAGGAGACGUCGGAAGGGCCCUGGAUUAAUC